rnacentral:rRNA from 1 species
GAGCUCGUAGGCGGUUUGUCGCGUCUGCCGUGAAAGUCCGGGGCUCAACUCCGGAUCUGCGGUGGGUACGGGCAGACUAGAGUGAUGUAGGGGAGACUGGAAUUCCUGGUGUAGCGGUGAAAUGCGCAGAUAUCAGGAGGAACACCGAUGGCGAAGGCAGGUCUCUGGGCAUUAACUGACGCUGAGGAGCGAAAGCAUGGGGAGCGAACAGGAUUAGAUACCCUGGUAGUCCAUGCCGUAAACGUUGGGCACUAGGUGUGGGGGACAUUCCACGUUUUCCGCGCCGUAGCUAACGCAUUAAGUGCCCCGCCUGGGGAGUACGGCCGCAAGGCUAAAACUCAAAGGAAUUGACGGGGGCCCGCACAAGCGGCGGAGCAUGCGGAUUAAUUCGAUGCAACGCGAAGAACCUUACCAAGGCUUGACAUGGACCGGACCGCCGCAGAAAUGUGGUUUCCCCUUUGGGGCUGGUUUACAGGUGGUGCAUGGUUGUCGUCAGCUCGUGUCGUGAGAUGUUGGGUUAAGUCCCGCAACGAGCGCAACCCUCGUUCUAUGUUGCCAGCACGUGAUGGUGGGGACUCAUAGGAGACUGCCGGGGUCAACUCGGAGGAAGGUGGGGACGACGUCAAAUCAUCAUGCCCCUUAUGUCUUGGGCUUCACGCAUGCUACAAUGGCCGGU